GAAAUGCGAUAAGUAGUGUGAAUUGCAGAAUUCAGUGAAUCAUCGAAUCUUUGAACGCACAUUGCGCCCCUCGGCAUUCCGUGGGGAAUGCCUGUUCGAGCGUCAUCUACACCCUCAAGCUCUGCUUGGUGUUGGGCGUCUGUCCCGCCUCCGCGCGCGGACUCGCCCCAAAUGCAUUGGCAGCGGUUCCUUGCCCCCCUCUUUGCGCAGCACAUUGCCAUUCGAGGCGGCGGCGGCCCGCGUCCAACAAGCUCAACCCCCCCGUCUUUGACCUCGGAUCAGGUAGGGAUACCCGCUGAACUUAAGC
rnacentral:misc_RNA from 1 species